GCUUCAUCCCGAACGCCAGCAUCAAUCCUAUCUUCUUCUCCCCUUGCUCCACCGCUCAGAGCACACUGCUCUGUCUCCGCCACGCAAUACAGAGAGGAGUGGCCUUCGCCGGCGACGAGGCUCCUCCCUGACCAGAUCCCGCCACAGUCGCGGCGGCAGGGGUCGAGGGAUCCGCGGAGGGGGCCAGGGAUUUGGCGUUCGCUACAGCCGAGCACCAGGUACUGCCGCGCUACGACUCAGCUCCUCGCCGACCGGAGCGAGGUGCCGUCGCGGUCCGAGGCCGAGCGCCGCCGCGAGCACCAGGCCGCCGCGCUCGGGGCGACGCUGCCCGCACCAUCCCUGCGAUGCGCCCACCUCCAACCCGGCGGCGAUGGCGAUGUCCGCGAGGCCCUGGGCGCGAGGGAGGCGAUGGCGACCAGCUGAAGCGGCGGCGCCGUCAUCCUACACCGGGAGGCGGGGCCUGGUGGCGCACGAGGCUGCGGGACGCGGAAGGGGGAGAAGCAAUGGAGGUACUGACGGGCGCGGUGCUGUUCGAGGAGGCGGGGCGCGGAGGGAGAGAGCAGUGGAGGUGCUGACGCUGACGCCGCGGCGCUUCAUGGAGGUCAACUAGGAGGUGGACGAGGCCUUGCGGCUCGCAGCCGACCUGCUCGCCGAUGCGCCAAUAGGGAUCUGCUCGCCGGCGGGGACGCCAUUUUCUUCUAGUGAUGUGCGGAUGGUGAACUGCUCACCGGGAUUCACCCCGAGCCCAGGGAGUUGGAGUAUCGGGGAUAGGAUAUGUGCAUCGAGCAGAUUUUAGAUUUCUGGUUCACAUGGGUACACAUUGGGUACAUCUUGACAAUAUUUUUUCUGGAAUAGUUUCUUUUGAGCAUGGCAAAUUGUGUAGAACAUGAUAUUUAGUACAAUAUGGCAAAUUGGCAACUAGUGUGUAGUGUUUAGCACUGUUUAGUGUUGUUUGUCCUCCUGCGAGAAUUAUAUUCAGUAAUUUCCCAUGGCAUUUGUCCUCCUGUAUUUAGUCUGUAGUGCAAAUUUUGUAAACUUGCCAUGUGAUCAGUACAUACAAACUCUAGCUUUGAAAUGAAUCAUGAAUCGGAUUUUCUCUAGAUUUUGCCAUGAAUCAAAAGUAUAUAUUGUUGAACACUGCUUUGCCAUGGCAAAAAGGAUUUUAUAGCUUUUGGCAUGCCUCUAAUAUAGCUUUUUCCAUGUCACCACUAUAACUUUUGGCAUGACAUACACAUAUUUUUUUACCAUGGCAAAUUUGCUAAUCUAUUUGCCAUGCCUCUAAUAUAGUUUUCGCCAUGUCACCACUACAACUUUGGCCAUGUUCACAUGGAGUAGUAAAAAAACAAAUUUGAGUUGAUUGUAGAAAUAUGUGUUUGUUUCCCUUUUUUUGACUUUGUAGGAUUGAUGAUGACCACAUUAAGCAUGGCAACUUUUAAGAGAUCUGAUUUUGCUUUUGUACUUACUACUGCAAAUCCACCCAGACCAAACGACGGCGU